AUUCUGCCCAUGCGGGGAAGGAUGAGAAGCUUCGAUCAAGGUUCGACUCGAGCGCCAGCGAGAGAGCGUUGCCGCAGGCAACGACCCGAAGGGCGAAGCGCGCAGCGCUGAGUAAUCCUUCCCCCACCACCA
rnacentral:sRNA from 2 species